UGAAUGAUUGAUUCUCUACAGAUGCAUUUGGGAAAGCAUGCACCCAAAUUCACGACAAUUAUAUAAAUUUUUUGACACCGAACAUCUUUCUAUUGGCAAUGAUGAAAGUAAAAACUAUACGGUGGAUCUUAUAGCCAAAUGGAUGAUGACUAUGGAUAGACGAGGCCAAAUAUAUUUCAUUCCUUGGAUUGUUGAUCGACAUUGGAUGUUGGUGCUCGUGAUGAUGCGGGGGAUGACCAUAAUUUUGGACCCUUUAAAAAAUCAUAAAUCUCCACCAAUAAUUACGGAGGUUAUGGAAAAAGCAUACGCACAAUGUUUGGAAAAUGAAUACAUCGGCACAUUUACAAAAUUGGUGAGAGGUUCUUGUCCAAAACAACCUGAAAGUCAUGAAUGUGGUUAUUAUGUACUAAGAUACAUUUAUGAUCUUGUAAAUGCAC